rnacentral:rRNA from 1 species
CCUACGGGAGGCAGCAGUGAGGAAUAUUGGACAAUGGGCGCAAGCCUGAUCCAGCCAUGCCGCGUGCAGGAAGACGGUCCUAUGGAUUGUAAACUGCUUUUGUACAGGAAGAAACACUCCCUCGUGAGGGAGCUUGACGGUACUGUAAGAAUAAGGAUCGGCUAACUCCGUGCCAGCAGCCGCGGUAAUACGGAGGAUCCAAGCGUUAUCCGGAAUCAUUGGGUUUAAAGGGUCCGUAGGCGGUUUAAUAAGUCAGUGGUGAAAUCUGGUCGCUCAACGAUCAAACGGCCAUUGAUACUGUUAGACUUGAAUUAUUAGGAAGUAACUAGAAUAUGUAGUGUAGCGGUGAAAUGCUUAGAUAUUACAUGGAAUACCAAUUGCGAAGGCAGGUUACUACUAAUGGAUUGACGCUGAUGGACGAAAGCGUGGGGAGCGAACAGGAUUAGAUACCCUGGUAGUCCACGCCGUAAACGAUGGAUACUAGCUGUUGGGCGCAAGUUCAGUGGCUAAGCGAAAGUGAUAAGUAUCCCACCUGGGGAGUACGUUCGCAAGAAUGAAACUCAAAUGAAAUUGAGGCUGAGAGAGCGAGGACGACACGAGGGAGGAGG